rnacentral:tRNA from 1 species
AAGGAUUUAAGUUAAGUGUAAACCCCAUAGCCUUCAAAGCUAUAAAUAGAGUCUCUCUAAGCCUUA